rnacentral:rRNA from 1 species
AUGGGUUCUUUGGCGGCAGCCGACGGGGCCGGUCAUGCGAGCAAUGGCGCCGGCGUCGCGGACCAGGCGCUGGCGCUCGAGAACGGCACCGGCAAUGGGCACAAGGCCGGCGUCGCCGACAGAGAGACGCCAGUACUGCAGGCGAACGGCGGCAGCAAGGUGGCGAAGAAGAUCAGCCCGAAGGACAAGUACUGGGUGGCCGCCGACGAGGGGGAGAUGGCGGCGGCCAUAGCGGACGGCGGCGAGGACGGCCGGCGGCCGCUGCUGUACCGGACGUUCAAAGUCAAGGGCAUCCUCCUGCAUCCCUACAGGUUGCUGAGCUUGAUCAGAUUGGUUGCUAUCGUCCUAUUUUUCGUAUGGCGUGUCAGACACCCAUACGCUGAUGGCAUGUGGCUCUGGUGGAUAUCGAUGGUUGGGGAUCUUUGGUUUGGCGUCACUUGGUUGCUAAACCAAGUUGCAAAGCUCAAUCCUGUCAAGCGUGUCCCCAACCUUGCCCUCUUGGAACAGCAGUUUGAUCUCCCUGACGGCAACUCCAACCUUCCUUGCCUUGAUGUCUUCAUCAACACCGUUGAUCCCAUUAAUGAACCUAUGAUAUACACUAUGAACUCCAUCAUAUCCAUCCUUGCUGCAGACUAUCCAGUUGACAAGCAUGCUUGCUACCUCUCAGAUGAUGGUGGGUCAAUAAUCCAUUAUGAUGGUUUGCUUGAGACUGCAAAAUUUGCUGCAUUAUGGGUUCCCUUUUGCCGAAAACAUUCCAUUGAGCCAAGGGCCCCUGAGAGCUAUUUUUCUUUGAAUACACGCCCAUACACUGGAAAUGCACCACAAGACUUUGUCAACGACCGCAGACACAUGUGUAGAGAGUAUGAUGAGUUCAAGGAGCGGUUAGAUGCACUUUUUACCCUUAUUCCCAAGCGGUCAGAUGUGUACAAUCAUGCUGCUGCCAAAGAAGGUGCAAAGGCAACUUGGAUGGCAGAUGGGACACAGUGGCCAGGCACAUGGAUUGACCCAGCUGAAAACCAUAAGAAAGGACAACAUGUUGGAAUCGUUAAGGUUAUGUUGAAACAUCCAAGUUAUGAACCAGAACUUGGUCUAGGAGCAAGCACCAACAGUCCUCUAGACUUCAGUGCGGUUGAUGUGCGCCUCCCAAUGCUUGUUUACAUCUCCCGUGAGAAGAGUCCAAGCUGUGAUCAUCAAAAGAAGGCAGGUGCCAUGAACGUACAGUUGCGAGUCUCUGCCCUCCUGACCAAUGCUCCCUUCAUCAUCAACUUUGAUGGUGACCACUACGUCAACAACUCGAAAGCCUUCCGUGCUGGCAUAUGUUUCAUGCUCGAUCGCCGUGAAGGUGACAAUACUGCCUUUGUCCAGUUUCCUCAACGCUUCGAUGAUGUUGAUCCCACAGAUAGGUACUGCAAUCACAAUCGUGUCUUCUUUGACGCCACCUUGCUCGGCCUCAAUGGCAUCCAAGGGCCGUCUUAUGUUGGCACUGGUUGCAUGUUCCGCCGUGUCGCACUUUACGGUGUUGACCCACCUCGCUGGAGACCUGAUGACGUCAAGAUCGUGGACAGCUCCACCAAGUUUGGCAGUUCAGCGUCAUUCAUCAGCUCAAUACUGCCAGCAGCAGACCAAGAACGCUCCAUCAUGUCGCCGCCGGCACUUGAAGAGUCUGUCAUGGCUGACUUAGCUCAUGUCAUGACAUGUGCAUAUGAGGACGGGACUGAAUGGGGCAGCGACGUUGGUUGGGUGUACAACAUUGCAACCGAGGAUGUGGUGACCGGCUUCCGGCUGCACCGGAAUGGGUGGCGAUCCAUGUACUGCCGCAUGGAGCCAGAUGCAUUCGCCGGCACCGCGCCAAUCAACCUCACUGAGCGGCUCUACCAGAUCUUGCGCUGGUCGGGGGGCUCCCUUGAGAUGUUCUUCUCGCGCAACUGCCCACUCCUGGCUGGUCGCCGCCUCCACCCAAUGCAGAGAAUUGCCUAUGCCAACAUGACAGCCUACCCAGUUUCAUCUGUCUUUCUUGUGUUCUAUCUCCUCUUCCCGGUGAUAUGGAUCUUCCGUGGGCAAUUCUACAUACAGAAGCCAUUUCCCACAUAUGUAUUGUACCUCGUCAUCGUCAUUGCCCUGACCGAGUUAAUCGGUAUGGUUGAGAUCAAGUGGGCUGGGCUCACGCUGCUGGACUGGAUCCGCAACGAGCAGUUCUACAUUAUUGGUGCAACAGCCGUGUACCCUACAGCAGUAUUUCACAUAGUGCUGAAGUUGUUUGGCCUGAAGGGUGUUUCCUUCAAGCUUACGGCGAAACAGGUAGCAAGCAGUACCAGCGACAAGUUUGCUGAACUGUAUGCCGUGCAGUGGGCUCCGAUGCUGAUCCCUACCAUGGUGGUGAUAGCGGUGAAUGUUUGUGCCAUUGGCGCGUCGAUAGGCAAGGCGAUAGUGGGAGGAUGGUCACUGAUGCAGAUGGCAGAUGCAGGACUUGGGCUGGUGUUCAACGCGUGGAUUCUGGUGCUGAUCUACCCGUUUGCACUGGGCAUGAUUGGACGGUGGAGCAAGAGGCCCUACAUCCUGUUCAUUCUGUUUGUCAUUGCGUUUAUUUUGAUCGCGUUGGUGGAUAUCGCCAUCCAGGCCAUGCGCUCUGGGUUUGUUCGGUUCCACUUCAAAAGCUCUGGUGGCGCCACUUUUCCCACAAGCUGGGGUUUGUAA